ensembl:lncRNA
AGCGCCCGAGCCGAGCGGGCGAGCGGAGCUGCGGGGAGCGCGGGCGAAGGGCGGCAGGAGGGAGGGCGCGCGGGAGGCGGCCCCUCCUCGGCGAGCCAUGCGUGCCACGGGCAGCUGAGGAGCCGCCGGGCGCCGCUGCCAAGUCCCCGCUCCGCUUUUGUCUUGCCCUCCAGUGAAUGGGAAGAUGGAGAUGGAUGUUGAGGGAGUUUCUCCGCGCCCGGAGCCCAUCCCCCGCUCCCAGGGGGCUGGCGGAGCCUGCCAGGCGCCGCCACAGCCGCCCCAGCCCCAGCCCCAGCCCCAGCCGCAGCCGCAGCAGCAGCAGCAGCAGCAGCUGGCUCAGGAUGAAGUGCCCGGCGAGAGUGCAGGCGCGGAGGACAGCGACGAUCCCGAGGCGAGACCCAACAGCGAGAAAGGAGACAGCAAGAGAUAUCAUGGACUGAAAGGUGAUGGGUACCCCAAUGAGCUCACUACAAGAUCUCAAAGAUUCCAAGCCACUGGCUGCUCCAAAGCAUAAAGCCACCCUUCUGGAGAGGCGGCAGGAAGGAAGCCUGGAGGAGGUGAGGAAACAUCACUCUUCCCUCUGCCCUUGACUCCAUCGGCCUUUAGCUGUCAGAUGGUUGGGCCCAGGCCUGAUGGGCUGUUUCCCAUGUAUCCUUCCACAGGCUCCACUUUUGGCCAGAGGACAGACCACCUUCUUAGGUCUCUGGGAGAACUGCUGAAGGACAGUGAGGGAGAUGUUGCUGGUCCCCAGGACAGAAACCCAGCAGCUGGCACCAAGAAGCACCUGGAGUGGGACUCAAGCCCAGCACCCCUUCAGACUGAAGCUCUCUGAGCUGUGUGUGGUUCCCGACUGGACUGUUUUUGCUUUGCCGUCACCUGCAUAACACAGUUCUGGAUGCUUUUGAAUGGUUGGCUUUGUUUCCUUUUUUUCCCCCCUCUGUCUUUUCUUUUUUCUUCUCUUGGCCCUGAGAAUUGUAAGAAAAGAAUUGCUUUAGAAAGUAUAAUUCUGUUGCUGAAAUUAGCCUUGUUUAUGAACAAAUUCUGUCCCUAAGGAUUUUCUGAAUUGCAAUCCCAGGUUACUUGGUAGAUGGGGCUGCAUGAUUUGAUUUGUGUAGUACUGAUCCUUAGAUUAUAAAUACAUUUUCUUUCUUUCUUUCUCUCUUUCUUUCUUUUUCUUUCUUUCUUUCUUUCUUUCUUUCUUUCUUUCUUUCUUUCUCUUCUCUUCUCUUCUCUUCUCUUCUCUUCUCUUCUCUUCUCUUCUCUUCUCUUCUCUUCUCUUUCCUUUUCUUCUUUUCUUUCAAGUUUUGGAUCCAGGUAAUGGCCCGAGUCACAUUUGCUUAGCUACUGAAGCGAUCUCAAUGUGGUAUCGCUUGGAGUUGAAAUAUAAUCAAACAUAUAUUAUACCUGGGGCUCUUGCACGCUAUAUGAUAUAUAUGUUAUGCUACAAAGAAACACAAACCUUGUAGGUUGAAAUUUAAUUCCUGUCUGAUCCUGCAGUUAGAAUGGUGGAAAAAUUAUAAAUAUCAAAAGCGGCUUCAGACACCCUGAAUGUACGCUAACCAACAAUAAGUGGACCGUUUGGAAAUGCCCUUUUCCAAGGCAAAGCAGGAAUUGGAGAUCAGCUGACCUUGUCAACAGGGUUGCUCAGGUCUGUCUGUCUGUGGAUCUGCUCAUUUUGGAGGAAUCCGAGGACAAGGCCUGCUUCUGUGUUUGGGUUUACGGAAAUUGUGGCGUCUCUGACUGAAUGCUCUGUAACUGUGCCUGCCUUGCAAUAAAACACCUUUGGUUGACUCA